rnacentral:rRNA from 1 species
GACGAACGCUGGCGGCGUGCUUAACACAUGCAAGUCGAACGGUAAGGCUCCAGCUUGCUGGGGUACACGAGUGGCGAACGGGUGAGUAACACGUGGGUGACCUGCCCUGCACUUCGGGAUAAGCCUGGGAAACUGGGUCUAAUACCGGAUAGGACCAUGGUGUGGAUACUGUGGUGGAAAGUUUUUUCGGUGUGGGAUGGGCCCGCGGCCUAUCAGCUUGUUGGUGGGGUAAUGGCCUACCAAGGCGGCGACGGGUAGCCGGCCUGAGAGGGUGGACGGCCACAUUGGGACUGAGACACGGCCCAGACUCCUACGGGAGGCAGCAGUGGGGAAUAUUGCACAAUGGGCGGAAGCCUGAUGCAGCGACGCCGCGUGGGGGAUGACGGCCUUCGGGUUGUAAACUCCUUUCACCAUCGACGAAGGGUUUCUGACGGUAGAUGGAGAAGAAACACCGGCUAACUACGU